GAACGAACGCUGGCGGCAGGCCUAACACAUGCAAGUCGAACGCCGUAGCAAUACGGAGUGGCAGACGGGUGAGUAACGCGUGGGAACAUACCCCUCGGUUCGGAAUAACUUAGGGAAACUUGAGCUAAUACCGGAUACGUCCGAGGUUUUAACCGGCCUCGGAGAAAGAUUUAUCGCCGGAGGAUUGGGCCCGCGUCUGAUUAGCUUGUUGGUGAGGUAAUGGCUCACCAAGGCGACGAUCAGUAGCUGGUCUGAGAGGAUGAUCAGCCACAUUGGGACUGANACACGGCCCAAACUCCUACGGGAGGCAGCA
rnacentral:rRNA from 1 species